rnacentral:rRNA from 1 species
GAAAGGCCAAUCAAACCGGGAGAUAGCUGGUUCUCCCCGAAAUCUAUUUAGGUAGAGCCUUAGAUGAAUACCUUCGGGGGUAGAGCACUGUUUCGGCUAGGGGGUCAUCCCGACUUACCAACCCGAUGCAAACUGCGAAUACCGAAGAGUAAUGUCUAGGAGACACACGGCGGGUGCUAACGUUCGUCGUGGAGAGGGAAACAACCCAGACCGCCAGCUAAGGUCCCAAAGUACUAGUUAAGUGGGAAACGAAGUGGGAAGGCUUAGACAGCUAGGAUGUUGGCUUAGAAGCAGCCAUCAUUUAAAGAAAGCGUAAUAGCUCACUAGUCGAGUCGGCCUGCGCGGAAGAUGUAACGGGGCUAAAACUAGUCACCGAAGCUGCGGCAUUCAGAUGACAGAUUUCAGAUGUCAGGAGACAGUAUGGCAAUCAAGUUUGAAGAUUUGAACGCAUUGGCAAAGAUGGCGUAAUGAAUACGAAGAAAUUGCGAAGAUGUUACAAGGUUUUGGUAAAACACUGAAACCUGACGUCUGAAAUCUGUCAUCUGAUUGGGUAGGGGAGCGUUGUGUAAGCGGAAGAAGGUGGUUCGAGAGGGCUGCUGGACGUAUCACAAGUGCGAAUGCUGACAUAAGUAACGAUAAAGGGGGUGAAAAACCCCCUCGCCGGAAGACCAAGGGUUCCUGUCCAACGUUAAUCGGGGCAGGGUGAGUCGGCCCCUAAGGCGAGGCUGAAGAGCGUAGUCGAUGGGAAACGGGUUAAUAUUCCCGUACUUGUGAUAAGAGCGAUGUGGGGACGGAGCAGGUUAGGUUAUCCGGGUGACGGAAGUCCCGGUCCAAGCGUGUAGGAUGGAUGAUUAGGCAAAUCCGGUCAUCUAAAUCAGAGGCGUGACGGGGAGACUCUACGGAGUCGAAGUAACUGAUACCACACUUCCAGGAAAAGCCGCUAAGCAUAUCUUAUCAUAAACCGUACUGAAAACCGACACAGGUGGUCAGGUAGAGAAUACUCAGGCGCUUGAGAGAACUCGGGUGAAGGAACUAGGCAAAAUAGCACCGUAACUUCGGGAGAAGGUGCGCUGACGGUAAUUGAAGUCCGUUGCGGAUGGAGGUGAAGUCAGUCGAAGUGACCAGCUGGCUGCAACUGUUUAUUAAAAACACAGCACUCUGCAAACACGAAAGUGGACGUAUAGGGUGUGACGCCUGCCCGGUGCUGGAAGGUUAAUUGAUGAUGUGAGAGCAUUUGAUCGAAGCCCCAGUAAACGGCGGCCGUAACUAUAACGGUCCUAAGGUAGCGAAAUUCCUUGUCGGGUAAGUUCCGACCUGCACGAAUGGCGUAAUGAUGGCCAGGCUGUCUCCACCCGAGACUCAGUGAAAUUGAAAUCGCCGUGAAGAUGCGGUGUACCCGCGGCUAGACGGAAAGACCCCGUGAACCUUUACUAUAGCUUGACACUGAACAUUGAAUUUUGAUGUGUAGGAUAGGUGGGAGACUGCGAAGUAUUAACGCCAGUUAAUAUGGAGUCGUUGUUGAAAUACCACCCUUUAAGGUUUGAUGUUCUAACACAGACUACGGAACGUGGUCGUGGACAGUGUCUGGUGGGUAGUUUGACUGGGGCGGUCUCCUCCCAAAGCGUAACGGAGGAGUACGAAGGUUUGCUAAUCACGGUCGGACAUCGUGAGGUUAGUACAAUGGUAUAAGCAAGCUUGACUGCGAGACGGACAGGUCGAGCAGGUGCGAAAGCAGGUCAUAGUGAUCCGGUGGUUCUGAAUGGAAGGGCCAUCGCUCAACGGAUAAAAGGUACUCCGGGGAUAACAGGCUGAUACCGCCCAAGAGUUCAUAUCGACGGCGGUGUUUGGCACCUCGAUGUCGGCUCAUCACAUCCUGGGGCUGAAGUAGGUCCCAAGGGUAUGGCUGUUCGCCAUUUAAAGUGGUACGCGAGCUGGGUUUAGAACGUCGUGAGACAGUUCGGUCCCUAUCUGCCGUGGGCGUUGGAAAAUUGAAAGGGGCUGCUCCUAGUACGAGAGGACCGGAGUGGACGCACCGCUGGUGUUCCCGUUGUUUCGCCAGAAGCAUUGCGGGGUAGCUAUGUGCGGGAGAGAUAAGUGCUGAAAGCAUCUAAGCACGAAACUUGCCUUGAGAUGAGUUUUCCCAGUCAAUAAGACUGUAAGGGUUGUUUAAGACUAAGACGUAGAUAGGCGGGGUGUGUAAGUGUAGUGAUAUAUUGAGCUAACCCGUACUAAUUGCCCGAGAGGCUUAACCA